UCGAGAGUUUGAUCCUGGCUCAGAACGAACGCUGGCGGCGUGUUUAAGACAUGCAAGUCGCACGGUAUCAUUUGUGUAGUAAUACUCAGGUGGUUCAGUGGCGCACGGGUGAGUAACGCGUGAAUAACAUGCCCUUUAGAGGGGGAUAGCCCAGGGAAACUUGGAUUAAUACCCCAUAGUCUCGCAAGAGUAAAGGUGGCCAGCAAUGGCUGUCGCUAGAGGAUUGGUUCGCGUCCUAUCAGCUUGUUGGCGGGGUAACGGCCACCAAGGCUACGACGGGUACCUGGUCUGAGAGGACGAUCAGGCACACUGGAACUGAGACACGGUCCAGACACCUACGGGUGCAGCAGUCGAG
rnacentral:rRNA from 1 species